UGGAUCUGAUUUAACUUAGUGGCGGACGGGUGAGUAAUGCGUGAGCAACCUGCCCUUCAGAGGGGAACAACAGUUAGAAAUGACUGCUAAUACCGCAUAUACCCAAGUGUCACAUGGCACAAUGGGGAAAGGAGCAAUCCGCUGAUAGAUGGGCUUGCGUCUGAUUAGCUAGUUGGUGGGGUAACGGCCCACCAAGGCGACGAUUGGUAGCCGGACUGAGAGGUUGAACGGCCACAUUGGGACUGAGACACGGCCCAGACUCC
rnacentral:rRNA from 1 species